rnacentral:ncRNA from 1 species
UAUCUUCAGGGCGGGGCGCAAUUCCCCACCGGCGGUAAAGUCCGCGAGCGCGCGCAAGCGUGCCGAAUCGGUGAAACUCCGAUACCGACAGUAUAGUCUGGAUGGAAGAAGGU